GCAGCUGAUUGACUGCUGGUAGCUCAAGUCUCCAGCAAAGAGGCAGCCAGGAGCCACUGGGGCUGACACUCACAGCCAGUAGAGGGGAUCUGGGUGGGCCAUCAAGGGGCACCAUGCAGGGUUUAGUGCCAGAAGAUAAGAGCAAGCGACCCAGGCAAGCCGUUCUCAAACACACUGGGUUUGACCAGUCUUUUAUCUCCACGGUUGUUGGCUGCUGACAUGCUGUGAUCCUACAAUAAGGAAAAUUAGAUACACAGAUGACUUGGCUGAGACCCCAGAUUCCUGUUCACAACUACGUAUUUGAUGGAGAAUGAGGUUCAGGGGCUCCCAACGCCCCCUCCUGCUGCCCUGCCCCCCAAACCCUGCACGCCUGUGGGAUGUCCUGUCCUGUCACACAGGAAGCGGUCCCUUUGUGUGGCUUCCAUGCUUUUCUGAGUCUUCAGGAGUUUGAUUUGGGAAAGGGGGGAAAAAAGGCGACUGAAGUUGCUGCCAUCAGUUCCCAGGAUGAAUGGCUAAGUAAUGAUGCUGAAGAACAAUUUGCAUCUAAGAGGCGGCUUGGGAGUUCCGUGAAUAGCCCGUGAUUGCAGAUAAACACCACCUGCCACGCUGUCCACUGCAGCCCUACUUCAGGUUGAGAGGGAGAGUUUUCCUUUGAGCAGAAAAGCUCUUCUUUUCUUUCACUCUCCAGUGCUUUUAUGCUAACACUUUGGAGCUAGACGAGAAAACUGGAUUUACAGUAAGUUAACCUGUUACCUCUGGAAAGAAGGAAGAAGAGUUUCCAAUUGAGGUUCGUUUACAUUUUGAUUAAAGUAGAAAAGUGGUGGCUGCAGAAGUCCUUUCCUGGUCCUCAAAGGUACCCUUUGUGUGGUCUGCGGACAUCGUGCUUGUCAGAAUGCACAUUUCAGGGCCCCACACCAGACCCAAGGUAUAGGCCAGUGGAGAGACAAUGAAAGUUCCUAUGGCCAGGAUACUCACCUGACCCUGGUCAGCUUGCUCACUAUGCAUGU